rnacentral:lncRNA from 1 species
CCCUUUAGUAUCUUUUUCCUCAUCUUUUUAAAGUCAUUGCUCACAAGUUGGUUUUAUGAAAUGUAUGAUGCUUAGCUUAUGCAAAUAUGCAUGAAAAACAGAAAUGUGCGGAAUGUUUGAUUGCAGUUUUGUUAUGUAGGAGGAUCAUUUUCGUUUGAUUUGAUGGUCAAUAAUUAACUUAGGCAGUUGACUCAUAUCGUCAAUGGAAGUCAAGCCACUGCACGAGUGCGGGAGGUCUUGAAUUUGAACUUAGCCCGUUUCAAAUCAAAGAUAGAUGCCUUUCUGCCAAGACACCAAUUUUUAAGACUUACAGUAGAGAUCAGUCGGUCCGGAGUCAGAAUCAAGUGUCCAGGUUGGCUGACAUGUCUUCCUGCGGUAUAAUACAAGAUGAGUUCACACUCAUUUUUUCGUCUUAAAUAUGAAUAUGCAACGACCACUUUUAUAUAUGACCCUACAUCCUGUUAGUACUAAGAUUUAAGCUAUGCACAAAAUUAUGAUCUUCUCAACUGCAUUGUGGAAUAAAA